AUAAAUGUGAGAACCCUGGUGUCUGGCUGUGGGGGCUUGUCGACAGCUCUGGAGAGUGUCGGGACAAGUCCGAGUCGCGUUGGCGUCAAAUAGACGCAAAACGGACUCCGUGCGACGCGAGGGCAGCAUUCAGCGAAGGAAUCUGCAAAACAGCAGAUUUUCCUGCUUGUUGUACCGGUACAAGACUAUGUUGUACCGGUACAACCAGCGCGGGGAAUGCUUGCUGUACCGGUACAAGAGUUUUCUGUACCGGUACAAGCUACGCGCACAGAUUUAGCUGCUCUCGGGUUGGCUCUUGUACCGGUACAGGAGCCCGUGUACCGGUACAAGGGAGUAGGUAGAGGGC
rnacentral:lncRNA from 1 species